AACGCGAAGAACCUUACCUGGGCUCGAACGGCUUCCCAACGGCGGUGGAAACAUCGCUAUCCCUUAAAAGAGUGGAGUCGAGGUGCUGCAUGGCUGUCGUCAGCUCGUGUCGUGAGAUGUUGGGUUAAGUCCCGCAACGAGCGCAACCCUUGUCCUGUGUUGCCACCCCGCAAGGGAGCACUCGCAGGAGACCGCCAGCGAUAAGCUGGAGGAAGGUGGGGAUGACGUCAAGUCCUCAUGGCCUUUAUGUCCAGGGCUACACACGUGCUACAAUGGCCGGUACAAAGCGUUCCCAAGCCGCGAGGUGGAGGCAAUCGCAAAAAACCGGUCUCAGUUCGGAUUGCAGGCUGCAACUCGCCUGCAUGAAGCUGGAAUCGCUAGUAAUGGCAGAUCAGCACGCUGCCGUGAAUACGUUCCCGGGCCUUGUA
rnacentral:rRNA from 1 species